GGAUCAUUGUCGAAAUCGAACGGAAGAACGACCCGCGAAUCGUCAUUGCGUAGUAGACAGAGCCCGUGAGCACCUAACGCUCACGGGUCUCGCGUCGCGUCGGCGCGGUGUACUCGAGACCCGCGUCGUACCGGCGGACAAACAACGUCAGCACGGAUCGUGCCAAGGAGCUGCAUGGAGAGAAUCGUCGUCCCCCGCCUUUGAUAGUCGUCCUCGACGCGGGACGGGGGAUGUACGCAAUCUCUACUCAAAAGUCUAAACGACUCUCGGCAACGGAUAUCUCGGCUCUUGCAUCGAUGAAGAACGUAGCGAAAUGCGAUACUUGGUGUGAAUUGCAGAAUCCCGUGAACCAUCAAUUCUUUGAACGCAAGUUGCGCCCGAAGCCAUUCGGCCGAGGGCACGCCUGCCUGGGCGUCGUGAAUCCCCUUGCCCCUAGGCACCCGCACGAGCAUCGGCGGGGACAUAUCCUCGGGCGCAGAAUAUGGUCUCCCGUGGGAUCGGCAUGCACGGCAUGACGAGGUGCGGUUGGCCGAAAAUCGAGCAUGGCGGUGACGGGCACCACGGCGUUCGGUGGAUCGAAUGAGAUUGGCUGCGUCGUGGGCUCGGCAUGCGGCGGGCUCCGGACUUUGAAUAUCCCCGAGUGCGAUCCCAGGUCAGGCGGGGCUACCCGCUGAGUUUAAGCAUAUCAAUAAGCGGAGGAAAAGAAACUAACGAGGAUUCCCUUAGUAGCGGC
rnacentral:rRNA from 1 species